rnacentral:rRNA from 1 species
AGAGUUUGAUCAUGGCUCAGAUUGAACGCUGGCGGCAGGCCUAACACAUGCAAGUCGAGCGGUAGCACAGAGAGCUUGCUCUCGGGUGACGAGCGGCGGACGGGUGAGUAAUGUCUGGGAAACUGCCUGAUGGAGGGGGAUAACUACUGGAAACGGUAGCUAAUACCGCAUAAUGUCGCAAGACCAAAGUGGGGGACCUUCGGGCCUCAUGCCAUCAGAUGUGCCCAGAUGGGAUUAGCUAGUAGGUGGGGUAACGGCUCACCUAGGCGACGAUCCCUAGCUGGUCUGAGAGGAUGACCAGCCACACUGGAACUGAGACACGGUCCAGACUCCUACGGGAGGCAGCAGUGGGGAAUAUUGCACAAUGGGCGCAAGCCUGAUGCAGCCAUGCCGCGUGUGUGAAGAAGGCCUUCGGGUUGUAAAGCACUUUCAGCGGGGAGGAAGGCGNNNNNNNNNNNNNNNNNCGAUUGACGUUACCCGCAGAAGAAGCACCGGCUAACUCCGUGCCAGCAGCCGCGGUAAUACGGAGGGUGCAAGCGUUAAUCGGAAUUACUGGGCGUAAAGCGCACGCAGGCGGUCUGUCAAGUCGGAUGUGAAAUCCCCGGGCUCAACCUGGGAACUGCAUUCGAAACUGGCAGGCUAGAGUCUUGUAGAGGGGGGUAGAAUUCCAGGUGUAGCGGUGAAAUGCGUAGAGAUCUGGAGGAAUACCGGUGGCGAAGGCGGCCCCCUGGACAAAGACUGACGCUCAGGUGCGAAAGCGUGGGGAGCAAACAGGAUUAGAUACCCUGGUAGUCCACGCCGUAAACGAUGUCGAUUUGGAGGUUGUGCCCUUGAGGCGUGGCUUCCGGAGCUAACGCGUUAAAUCGACCGCCUGGGGAGUACGGCCGCAAGGUUAAAACUCAAAUGAAUUGACGGGGGCCCGCACAAGCGGUGGAGCAUGUGGUUUAAUUCGAUGCAACGCGAAGAACCUUACCUGGUCUUGACAUCCACAGAACUUUCCAGAGAUGGAUUGGUGCCUUCGGGAACUGUGAGACAGGUGCUGCAUGGCUGUCGUCAGCUCGUGUUGUGAAAUGUUGGGUUAAGUCCCGCAACGAGCGCAACCCUUAUCCUUUGUUGCCAGCGGUUAGGCCGGGAACUCAAAGGAGACUGCCAGUGAUAAACUGGAGGAAGGUGGGGAUGACGUCAAGUCAUCAUGGCCCUUACGACCAGGGCUACACACGUGCUACAAUGGCAUAUACAAAGAGAAGCGACCUCGCGAGAGCAAGCGGACCUCAUAAAGUAUGUCGUAGUCCGGAUUGGAGUCUGCAACUCGACUCCAUGAAGUCGGAAUCGCUAGUAAUCGUAGAUCAGAAUGCUACGGUGAAUACGUUCCCGGGCCUUGUACACACCGCCCGUCACACCAUGGGAGUGGGUUGCAAAAGAAGUAGGUAGCUUAACCUUCGGGAGGGCGCUUACCACUUUGUGAUUCAUGACUGGGGUGAAGUCGUAACAAGGUAACCGUAGGGGAACCUGCGGUUGGAUCACCU